AUGACGGCCUUCGGGUUGUAAACCUCUUUCAGUAGGGAAGAAGCGUAAGUGACGGUACCUGCAGAAGAAGCGCCGGCUAACUACGUGCCAGCAGCCGCGGUAAUACGUAGGGCGCAAGCGUUAUCCGGAAUUAUUGGGCGUAAAGAGCUCGUAGGCGGUUUGUCGCGUCUGCCGUGAAAGUCCGGGGCUCAACUCCGGAUCUGCGGUGGGUACGGGCAGACUAGAGUGAUGUAGGGGAGACUGGAAUUCCUGGUGUAGCGGUGAAAUGCGCAGAUAUCAGGAGGAACACCGAUGGCGAAGGCAGGUCUCUGGGCAUUAACUGACGCUGAGGAGCGAAAGCAUGGGGAGCGAACAGGAUUAGAUACCCUGGUAGUCCAUGCCGUAAACGUUGGGCACUAGGUGUGGGGGACAUUCCACGUUUUCCGCGCCGUAGCUAACGCAUUAAGUGCCCCGCCUGGGGAGUACGGCCGCAAGGCUAAAACUCAAAGGAAUUUGACGGA
rnacentral:rRNA from 1 species